rnacentral:lncRNA from 1 species
GAAAAGUUGAAAUGAGUCCUCCUUUAUGAUAAGAAUGAUACCUCUCGGUAAGAUGGGAAUAAGAUCUUCUUAUAAUGUUAAAGAGGAAAGCUGGCUUCCAUGGAAAUGGCCACCUACUAGCAGGUCAAGCACAGUAUUACAGAAAAAAAAAAAGAAAUACAAUGUAAUGGCUGCUUUUUCAGAAGAAUAAAAUAAAGUAAAUCACAAAGGAGAGAAUAUUUCUUCUAAUUUUGAUGAACAUAAUUUUAAAGAAAUACUUUAUUUUCAAAGAUAAUGGAAGUGGACAAUGAGUGCAUGGUAAGAAGAAAUUGAAUGAGCCA